AUUGAACGCUGGCGGCAGGCCUAACACAUGCAAGUCGAGCGGAUGAAGGGAGCUUGCUCCUGGAUUCAGCGGCGGACGGGUGAGUAAUUCCUAGGAAUCUGCCUGGUAGUGGGGGAUAACGUCCGGAAACGGGCGCUAAUACCGCAUACGUCCUGAGGGAGAAAGUGGGGGAUCUUCGGACCUCACGCUAUCAGAUGAGCCUAGGUCGGAUUAGCUAGUUGGUGGGGUAAAGGCCUACCAAGGCGACGAUCCGUAGCUGGUCUGAGAGGAUGAUCAGUCACACUGGAACUGAGACCCGGUCCAGACUCCUACGGGAGGCAGCAGUGGGGAAUAUUGGACAAUGGGCGAAAGCCUGAUCCAGCCAUGCCGCGUGUGUGAAGAAGGUCUUCGGAUUGUAAAGCACUUUAAGUUGGGAGGAAGGGCAGUAAGUUAAUACCUUGCUGUUUUGACGUUACCAACAGAAUAAGCACCGGCUAACUUCGUG
rnacentral:rRNA from 1 species